rnacentral:lncRNA from 1 species
CGGAAACCAAUCAAAGAUUGACUCCUUCUAGUUGUAAUCCUAUGUAGCUAUGCUAAUCUAGAUAUCUAAUUGAUGUGGUGGCUCUAAUCUUGAUCAGGGGCUUCUUCUCCCUUGAAGAAUAAUGAAUUAGGGUUGAGAGGCUCUCUCCUCCAGGGGCCAGGGGGUCUGGUUUUAUAGUCCCUUCAAGUGAAUAUGGGCCGUUGGAUCAAACCGACAUAGAUUGUAUGGUUUAGAUUCAUCCUUUAGAUCGGUGGAGAUCUCCCACGAAGCAGAGUCCUGAUUGGACUCAGGAGGUGGGCGGGCGCCCUGAUCACCUGGGCGGGUGCCCAGGGUUAGGCCCCGUUUCGCCUCCGCUUCAGUCUCGUGGCUUCUGGAGUCUUCUAGAUGUAAGAUAAUUGCGUGGCACGUUAAUAUCUCUAUGUAAUCCCGACGUGUGGGCCUUUCUUUCGUAUUUCCUGAUAACCCCCUGCAGAAAUAGACAAACACCAAAACUCGUGGAAUUCUGUCAGAUAAAACCCUAAGUCUAGAUGUUGAUUUCAUUUGGAUCCUUUUCUUUGUUUAUUUGAUAAUUAAAUUUGAUACAUAAGGACCGUCAACAAACUCCCCCAAGCUUACCUCUUGCUCGUCCGUGAGCAAGGAUAGACUCAGCUAUGGAUCAUAGGUUGUUGCAAUAUCUUAAAAAUUGACGGUACACAUGCUUUUUUAAAUAAGAUCUCAUCUCCGAGUUAGAGUAAACUGUCAAGACUUAAAACUUACUUACUUUACCUUCACCAUGGGACUUGUAACUGUCACUUCUGUCUUGAGUAGUUAAAAGAUAGAACAGUCUAGCCAAGUGCCAUGUCUCUUAUUCUUGAUCAGCUAUAGCUCUGGGAUUUUUGCAGAUUUUCAAAUAAAACUCAGAGAUUCCUUGUAUGAUUCUCUCAGAUCUCUCUUUUGUGGUAUUUCUGGAUCCUUACCAAGGCAGUGAUGGUAUAUGCCUUCUCUCAAGAUAUGUGGUAUUUGUGGUAUGAAGCAUAGUGACAUUAUCUUAUCUCUCACCCUACUUCUAAUAAGGCUUUAAUAUCUGGAGCUCAUAGGUGGGAGAUAAAGUAUACAUACUCACAAGACAUUUAUCGUAUAGUCAAACCAUGGAUCCAAAGAAACAAAUCAAUAAGCCAAAUCAAGAUGUGCAUGUGUUGCGAAUGAAUGGUAUAUGGUGAUGAUGGUGAUAACAAUGGUGGAAACAAUGGUGGUGGAAGUCUAAUUCUACUUUGCUCUUUUGAGGGGAUAAUACCUUCCUUGCUUUUUGAAACUUUAUGAGGAGAAUGAGAUGCUCUUCUUUUUCUUUCCUCUCAGGUGGGUAUCUUGUACCCCUAAUUCUACUAUCGGACACUUGUCCAUUUUUACCUCUCGUCUUACUUUUUUUCUUUUCUUUCGAGGUUCCGAGCACUUGCUCCUUUUUAUUUCCUCGUAUUUUUUCUUUUUUUUAGAGCACUCAUCUCUUGAGAUAAUAUAGCAAGUGGUAGUAACAAGAUAACUUGAGCAUUUAUUUCACAAGGGAAAACAGAAAUAUUUUUGGUUAUUCUCUCCCGGAUUAGGAGUAGAAUAUUUUUGGGUGAUUCUGGAGAUAGAAAUGAGUGGAUAUAUGUGGAUGGUACUUCCGGAGUAGAAGUAGCAUAUAUGAGUGAACGUGCAAGUGAAAUCUUGAUUUAACCACAUGACAAGCUUCUAAGGGUCUACACAGCUUGACCACACUCAAUGCUCAUAAGCAGUAAAUAGUAAAUGUGUGGCUCAAAGUCUAGCAAGCAUGUAUAUAUGGCUGUGGUAGGAAUUUAAACUCUCAUCAUACAGGAACUCAUCAUGCAACAUUUUAAAGAUUUUCAAAGAUAAAAUUCUCCAGAAUUCUAGCAUCUCUAGGAACAGAUAAACAACAGCUCAACCUUCCCAUAUCGUAUCCGUUAACAACUUAGACUUUAGAUCAAGUUUUCAUUCCACAAGUUUAGGUCUAGAGCAAGCUUUAAAUUAUAACAGUUAUGUCUAAACUUGAGAGAGAACUUAAAAUGUUCAAAUUAGGUAGAGCAACUAUUCAUCAUAUCCAUGCUUGAGUUUUAUUUAGAUACAGAUUAGCAUAGCCACUUUAUUUAUUUAUUAAACACACUAAGCAAAAGAUAUAUAUAUAAGCAUAAAAUCCUUAUUUGAUUUUUCCAUAGUUAUGUAUAUUUAUAUUCUAAAAUAAUAUAAGUAUAAAGAUAGACAGAUAGAAAUACUUAUCGAGAUAAAUGGGGGUGCUCUCCCCCAAGCUGAAUUUUGACGUAAUUUCUCUUCAUGUAGCUAGCAGGUGGCAGAAGUGUAUUUGAAAGUCAGCAGCAUUCUGACAGCGAUUAGAAUGUCCUCCGUCUGCUAGUCUUCUUACAUUCUGUGGAGCUCAAAUAGACAACAAAGCUUGUGGAACUGAUUAAGUGUUAGCAUAAAUAUCUAGCCUUUAUCAUGUUGAGACUCCUUAAUUAUUACUCUCUGUUUUUAUAUUUUUAUUUUAUAAAGCAGAAAAAUAUUUAUUUUAUUUUUAUGCCACCACAGUGAAUGUGCUUAUGAGUUUUAUGCCACUCGUAUACUCACAUGGGGCUUACUGUUUUUUUAUAUUUUUAUUUUCUUUUAUUUUUAAGAUAGUAUGAAUAUGAUAAACUAAGUAAACUAUUUAAAAUAAUUGAAAGGGAAAGGAUAACUACCAAGUUUACCUCUUGGCAAAACGUUCGGUGUUUUUAAGUCCUCCGAACAGGACUCUCCAUUUUUUUCAAUUGUCCUGAGGUUCGUUGGGAGGCGUAGUCGGUACUUCCGGCGGCGCCUCCUCUUCAUGUAUAAUUAUCUUCUCUUUCCAUACCUGACUCGGUGCUUUGGUCUCCUCUGGAUAAUUCUGUUUAAACUCUACGUCUUCUGACCUUACAACUUCUCCUUCAUAGUCUGCCCAUCCAUCCUUGAUGAUCUGCCUCCUCUGGUUGCGGUUGCGUCGUUUCCUGACCUGCUUAGAUUCUUCAACGAUAUAGUUAGGGUCAGUAAAAUAACGGCGUACCUUCUCUGAGGGGAAGUGCAUAUGGACUUCUCCGGUUUCAAUGUAGAUAAUUGCUUUAACGGUGCUGAGGAACGGUCUUCCAAGGAUGAUGGGUGGAUCAUACUCAUCUUCUCCUAUGUCAAUAACCUGAAAGUCUGUGUAGACAAAGUGAUCGUCUAUUUUGACUGGGACAUCAGUUACUAUUCCUUUAACUUCUCAAAAUGUCUGAUCUGCCAUCUGGAGCUGAAUGUAUGUUGGUCUUAGUGGCAUGGUUCUGAACAAGAGCUGAUAGGUGACUGCGGCCAUUAUGUUGACGCCCGAUCCGGUGUCACAAGUCGUCUGGUAGAAGUUGUAUCCAUUUAUGGAGCAGUAAAUGCUUGGCGUUCCUGGGUCAUCCUUCUUGGUCAAAAGCGGUGACUUAAGUUGGUGAUCUUGGCCUCCAUGAACUACAGUGACCAUCUUAGCUGACUCGGUCCACACUUGCUUGUUCCUGUUCCUCCUGUUGGUCCUCUUCCUUGAUUCACGUCUGGAUUGAUCUGGAAUUUGUGUAGUCUUGUUCUUGAAGAAAAAUGUCUCCUUUCUCCCUUUGACGUAGAAACUGAUCUUGGCAGCACUAGCGUAGAUGAUAGCUCCCGUGGUGUUUAAGAAUGGCCUCCCUAGGAUGAUAGGUGCUCUCUCAUCAUUUCCAGUCUCUACCACUACGAAGUCUGCUAGGGCAUACAAGGUACCAACUCGGACGCAAAGGUUCUUCAAUAUUCCUUUUGGAAAAGUUAUCGUCUGAUAUGCAAACUGUAAACACAUGGUUGUUUCUAAUAAAGGAUAUGUAAAGAAUUUUUUAUGGAGUACCCUAGGUAUAAUGUUGACACUAGAGCCAAAGUCACAGAGUACUUCUGGAACGUCCACCAUGCCGAUGGAGAUCGGGAUGACGGGGCGUCCUGGAUCGCCUCUCUUGACCGGCAGGAGGUCAGUAGAGAAUUUAGUGACGGGGUUACUCCAAUUACUACCUGCAUCAAACAUGUCUACAAGAUUUGCAGAUUCUAAUCCUUCCGGUUGUGAUGGUAUACCGGGGUUAGUAGUAGGAACAGCAACAGCUAUUUGAUUUAACAGGGAUUCAAUCAUUUUAUUAAAGCUAAUUUGAUUCUUGAUGGCAGUAGAGAAAUUAUCCAUUCUAUUAUUUAUAUUUUCUAGCAUUUUAUCAUUAGAUGCCAAUUUCUUAGAUAGGUUAUCCACUAGCUUUCCUUGAUUAGACACUAACUCUCUUAGAGGUGGAAAAUUAUUAUUAUUGUUGUAAGAAUUGUUACCAUGAUAAUUACCUGAGUAGUUAGGCCUCUGUUGAUUCCAACCUUGAUUUUGUUGAGGACUGUUUUAGUAGUUGUUGUUGUUAUUGUUGAUGUAGUUCACAUCCUCAAGCAUCUCAGGGCAGUGGUUGCCUGAGUGUCUAGUAUCUCCACACUCCUCACAAGUCAUGUGAGAGUCGUAGAUGUGCAUUCUUUCUUGUCUCCGGCUCUAUCGUCGAGCUUCUUCAUGAGCAGGUCUAGCUUUGCAGACAGCAUGUCUACCUCCUUCAGCUGAUGCAUACCUCCACCUCUCUUGCGUGUCUGGGUCCUCUCUUCAUUCUAGCUUUGAUUGGACACCAUCUUCUCCACAAGAGCUGUGGCUUGUGGUAUAGUAAGUGAUAAGAAUGCUCCUCCAGCUACAGCAUCCAUGGUUUCUCGGGCACUAUUGCCGAGUCCAUGAUAAAAUGUCUGCAUCAAUAGCCAACUCUCCAUUCCAUGAUGGGGACAUUCUAGGAUGUAGUCUUGAAAGCGCUCCCAUGCUUCUGGAACAGAUUCAUCAUUUUGUUGCUGAAAACUUGUAAUCUUCCCACGGAGAGCAUUGGUCUUGCCCAUGGGAAAGAACUUAGCCAGGAAGUUUGUUGAGCAGAGUGCCCACGUAGUAUUCUUCUCCUUUGUAGCGUAGAACCACUGCUUCGCUCUUCCUAACAGUGAGAAUGGGAAGAGGCAAAGUAGUAUAGCAUCUUUGGAAACUCCUGAUAUGGUGAAUGUGUUGCAAAUAUCCAGGAAGUGUUGUAAAUGAGCACUAGCAUCUUCGUGUGCCUUCCCACAGAAUUAGUUGGAUUGCACCAUGUUGAUAAGUCCAGGCUUGAGCUCAAAAUUGCCAUCGAUCUCUGCAGCAGGUCUAGUGCGGAUGUUGUCUGUAGUGGGAGCUGAGAACUCGCGGAUUGAUUUGUUCGCCAUGGCCUCGAACUCUGAAGACAAGUUCCGGUGAUCUUCUUGAUUGGAUGAAGCUUCUUGCUGAAGUGUUGAUGAUCUCUUCUUGAGCUUGGCUCUCGUCUUCUUGAAUAAUGCUUCGGGAUUGUCAACAAAAUUUCCUGGAAGAUGUCUUCUAUUCAUACAUUCCCCUGCAUAAGAUAAAAUAGAAAAAUAUCGGGGUAAAACUGUACGAGAGAAUAGAUAAGCUCAAUCAUAUUAGUGAUGCGAAUGAUAACUCAAAAUCUUUUAUUCCAUUCUUGAUUAGUAAUCAACCUUCCCCGGCAACGGCGCCAAAAAUGCUUGUUGGGUAUUCUUAACAUCAUUACCAAAAGUAGACUAAGUUCUCUAAAUCUAGUAACGGUGCCAAAAAUGCCAAACCUAUCCCUCACACCACUUAAGCCAAGUUGUCAUCCCCAGCAUGACAUGAGAGACGCGGUAUUGAAAUAUGCAAUUGCUCUUCUAAAUAAAUAAUGAAUGGGAUCUGCAAGCGCACAGAUUAAUACCGAUGUAGCAUUUUAACCGGAAAGUAUUCCAGGUAUCGUUAUUUAUAUUUUUACCACUGGGAAGGGAUUAGCAAUUAUCAAUAUUUAUUACAGAAUAGAAUAUGAGAUUGAGCAUCUAUCAUUGCAUGUAUAAUUGAGAACAUUAUAUCUAACUCUUCAUACAGGGAUAAGUGUCACAUAAAAGAUAUAUGAAGUAAUGAAUAGUGACAAAGAUAAUUAGUCUGAUCUAGCCACAUAAUAAAUAUGAUAAGCACCUCAAUUAGAUACUCUAGAAAGUCAUUAGCAUGGUAUUAGAACGAACUACAAGAAUAUUCCCUAAGUUAUUCUCAACUAUAUAGUCUAGCAUUAUCAUAAUUAGUGCAAGCAUACUUAGCAAUCAUUGUGAGACAAGACUACGCCCAUGCAUAGUGAUAUUAGCAAGGAAUAUGAGAAACAUAGCAAUCACUCCCCUGUAAUAAUGUUGCUCUGCCAGCCCAAUACACGAGAGGGGGACUAUAUUAGAAUCAAUGAAGUUGUCACUAUCACGAACUACCCCACGAUCUGGCAUAUUGGGUACAAUCGUAGAUAAAUACGGUAUAAGCACCACGCCUACACAAUAUCUAUCAUUUACCCAUGGAUCCGAUGGAUAAACGCUAUACGAUCCUAAGCAUGUAUAUAGAUCCAAUCUAACUAAGCCAAGUACAUAACUAUGAUAAACUAAGAACAAUAUAAUCUUGAAUAUAAGCAAGUAGAGCAAAGUCAUAAGCAAUAUAUUGAAGUAGAACAAAUUCAUAUUCAUAAUAUUGAAGAACAAAGAUAAUUAGAAAGCAAUUAGAAGCACAAUUAGAGAAUUACCAAGAAUCCUCUUGACAGAUCCGGAAACCAAUCGAAGAUUGACUCCUUCUAGUUGUAAUCCUAUGUAGCUAUGCUAAUCUAGAUAUCUAAUUGAUGUGGUGGCUCUAAUCUUGAUCAGGGGCUUCUUCUCCCUUGAAGAAUAAUGAAUUAGGGUUGAGAGGCUCUCUCCUCCAGGGGCCAGGGGGUCUGGUUUUAUAGUCUCUUCAAGUGAAUAUGGGCCGUUGGAUCAAACCGACAUAGAUUGUAUGGUUUAGAUUCAUCCUUUAGGUUGGUGGAGAUCUCCCACAAAGCAGAGUCCUGAUUGGACUCAGGAGGUCGGCGGGCGCCCUGAUCACCUGGGCGGGCGCCUAGGGUCAGGCCCCGUUUCGCCUCCGCUUCGGUGUCGUGGCUUCUGGAGUCUUCUAGAUGUAAGAUAAUUGCGCGGCACGUUAAUAUCUCUAUGUAAUCCCGACGUGUGGGCUUUUCUUCCGUAUUUCCUGAUAACCCCCUGCAGAAAUAGACAAACACUAAAACUCAUGGAAUUCUGUCAGAUAAAACCCUAAGUCUAGAUGUUGAUUUCAUUUGGAUCCCUUUCUUUGUUUAUUUGAUAAUUAAAUUUGAUACUUAAGGACCGUCAACAAGAACACGCCGAGUUUGACUCGACGAAUUCCUAAGAACUCAUAGUAAAAAUAAAAUAUGACGAAGUCGUCGAAAAGUAGAUGCUAGAAUAUGUGUAAAAACUUGUGUUUGAUUGAUUGAUAGAUAUCUCAUUACAUUGACAUGGGGUAUAAAUUUAUACCCUAUCCCAAAGAACUACAACCAGACACGACUAGAAUUCGAAUUCCAAAUUAAACAGAGUCCGUAUACAAAACGAACUCUAAUAACUAAGGAAAACAUUAAACUAUCCUCCAUAACCGAUCGGUACACUGCCACAAACCAAUCAGUAGACCGCCUUUCCCCGUCAUCGGCAACCAUUAGUACUAGUCAUCGGCAUGACCUCAUCACUACUUCUGAACUUAGCCAUAUUCCAUCGUUUUCCCAUCGGCACCGACCCCAUCGACAAUUCAUCUGCAAAUCAGCCACCACUUUCCUGCCUACUGAUCUACUCCUCAUUAACUCCAGAUACGUAUUCAAAGAUACGUGUCACAAAACGGUGUCAACACAUGCCCCCAAUUUUAGAGUAUAAAAUCAUUAAUGCUUCGAAUUUCUCUUCAGUAAUGACGCCUUUCCGCAAUUACUCCCUUCGAUCGGUAAUUAAUCACCAAAUCUGAACAGCCUCAGCCUGGUCUUACAGCAUGUACCUCGAAUUUCCCAACUUCUCGAACCGAAUGCCCCCAGAAUGCGCUCAUCGGCAAUAUUACCGUUAGAGAAAACUGCCGAUGAACCGACCAGGAGAUCUUGCACAGUAAGAUAUCUUCAAAACCAUGACCGCUUGUUGUCAAAUCACCUGCGCAAUCCCUAGAUUAUCGUGCGAAUAGUUACCAUAUCCACCUGAACAUCCUCGGAUUUUACGGAUGCGGCAAAGAGAUAAGUUAGAUUUGCCCCUACCCACUUUGUCCUAUAAAUACUUCCUUCUCUGGUACUUUUCUUCUAUCCUAUCAUUCUACAGCCUCAUACCCAUCUUUCUGGCGGCGACAUUGCUUGAGAACUUCAAGAACUCCAGCAAGGACCUCCUCCAAUAAUCCUCCGAGUCUUCGAUUCUUUCCUCUCCUCGGGAAGAAAUGGCCAUCAACUUCGUCGUCCCUGAGGUCAACUCACCACUCCCCUUCUCUUUUACACUUUUGUUGUACUCUUGUUCAUCUGUGAAUCUAUUUACUGAGUACUUUUUUCUUCUCUUUGUUCUAUCUCUUUCCUGUUCUUUCAACCAUCAAACCCUUUAGGAAUUAGCCGAUAAGAUCGUGAUUCCUACCGAUCAACCUCACUUCCAGUGUCUCGGUCCAUUGGGAAACCCAGAUCCCACCAAUCUGAUAAAUGCAGAGACAAAUAGGAUCCCUUUUAGAGCCGAGAAUUUCUCUUUAGACCUGUGGAAAGACACUUUCCGUUCUUGGCCUAGUCCUACCAAGGGAUGGAAAGAUUGGUUCCUAAGAAUCGGCAAUUCAAAUGAAGUCCAAUGGGGUGAGCGGAAAUUAGACCAGUGUAUCAGGCUAUCUAUUGCCGAUAUGAAGAGGAACGAGUCGCUGCUGAUAGCCGCUUCAUACUUUUGGUCAGACAUCCUUAAUGCUUUUUGUAUUCGGCCAUGGUCCUGCUUCGCCUACUCUUGCUGACGUACUUAUGCUCACUGGCUUAGAUAUAUCAACUGCCGAUAACAGUCAUCUGUUAGAUAACAAGCCUAGUUCUAAGGUAGAAACUCGCAGUAUCGGCGGUUGGUCUGGGUAUAUUCAGAAGUACCGAAAACAGGAUCUGUUGGGGAAAGGGAACAUGCCAUUUUUCUGAAUAUGUGGCUAGAUAAGUUUGUAUUUUGCGGCCGAUCGGUAGGACCAACUUCUGUUUUCCUAUCGGCAGCAGAAAGAUUAGCCAGCGGUGGUUGUUUUCCCCUUGGCCGAUACCUGUUAGGUUCUGCUUAUCACCUUCUUCACAAAGUUGCCGAGAAGCUUUUGCUAGGCCAACCCAUCGGCAACUUAGGAGAACCCUGGUGGUUUAUCAACAUGUGGCUCAACGUUCACAUGCAUAAGCGCCUCGGAUUCAACCUCUUCUCACAGCGCUUUCCUAGAGACAUAGCCGAAGAUUAUGAAUUGGAUGAUGAAGAAUCGGCAACUCGCCCCCCUUUGAACUAUGGUGAAGCUGCCAUAGUUUUACCUGGUACAGGUGGGAACGAAGACCAGGUCAGCCGAUUCUUCUAGACUCUCUAUGAGGGUCUAGCCAAAGACCAACGGGCAUGGAUGCCUUAUGAGGAUACAGAAACCAGAUUCCCACUCACUUUCCACCCCUUUGAUAAUGCCCUCAACAAGGACCACGAUCAGAUGAUAGCAAUUAUCACUCCGAGAGCGAUACCAGUGAACUUUUUUGGCAGUGGGAAAACCUCGAGCAUCACCUAUGAGUUCUACAAUCCAUCGGCACUGGCUCGUCAACUGGUCUUUGGACAGCUGCCGAUUGCACUCUGCUAUGCUGAUGUGGUGAAGCCAAGGGAGACCAUAACCAGCGGCCUUGAGUGGAUCAGAAUAGCCCAACUCCCACCAAAUGCCGAUACGUCAGACAUUGAUCUAUCGGCCUGGAUCCCAUCUCUCUUCAUUACUCAAGCAUACAAACAGUGGUGGGAGGAGUGGAAAGAGCACCUGUUCUAUAGAUCGGCUCUCACAUACCGCGGCAUGAUCGACCCCAAGUACAAAGUCCCUGAGAAUACUGUAAGUCUUCAACCGAUACUUCAAUCCAUUUAUUACUUUUAUUCUUAUCGGUAACUUACUUCCUCCAUUUAAACAGGUCGACCAUACACCACCGACAGUCAGCAGGAGCGGAAAGCCGAUCGAACUCCUUCCAUCGGGCCCGAUUUCCCUGAUCGGCAACAAUGCACCAAGCCUGGUGGCUUUAAUGCACCGAAACAUGCGUUUCAAGAAGAUCACCACCAGACGAGCAAAGACAUCUCCAUCGAUUGCUGCUACUGCUUUGGCACAAGCUUUCAAGGUAAAUCCCUGACUUCUUCGAUUUAUACCGAUUCCAUUCUAUACUUACACAGUCUUUUCUGGAUACAUCGGCUGCUAUGGGAACUUCAUCGGUAACUUCUGUCUUUUAGCAGAAAUUCUCAUCAACACUCUGUUAUAUUUUAUAAAACCUUUGUUGUUGUAUCAGCAAACUAGCAAAUCGGCAAGGACCAGAAGUACCAAGACAAGUGCCGAUGCCCCCCAAUCCAGCCAAGUCAAGAGAAAAGGCCCCAAAAGCACCAACCUACAAGCAAAACGUCAGAGGACAGCACUACCUUCUUCUCCUCCCCCAGUAUCGCCGAUUCAUGUAGAAUCGUCCCCUUCUUCACCAAAAGUUCAGACACAGCAAGCACCAUCUCCACCUCAGCCACAAGAAGCACCUCAGCCACAAGAGACAUCAAUCGAUGUACUUGAGCAGACCGCCGAUCCAGUGGAUCCAAUCAUAUCAUCGGUGGUCUCCUCGGAAUAGAUAAGUCCUGUGCCUCCUCAAGGUAAAGUACUACCCACAAAAUUAUCACUAAUGGAUUUACUUUUUUCAAUUUAUAAUUAUCUUUAUUAUUUCUUAGUUGACAUCGUUCCAUCGGCAACUCCAGCCGAUCAUCCUAUGGUACCAUCGGCCUCAACUAGUCAAUGGUGAGAAAUAGCUCUGAAACAAGUAAAUCACCUGAUCUUUAUCCCUUAUAUCACUUAAUACUUGAUCAUCAAAUAACUUAUCUCAUUUUUCUCCAGGAACAAGACUCUCCGGACAACUUGUUUUCUUUCGCCAUUGAGAUCUCUGAUGAUGAAGGCGAGGAAGCAAGCUCCUCCCAAGCAAUAGGAAUUUCAUCGGCAGAUAUCAGAGCAAAACUGGAAGAUCUGCUGGCCCUGCUACAUCAAGACACUGCUCAACUGGUCGUUGAUUCUGAUCCAGCCAAGGCUCUGUUCAAAGCUCUUAGGGGUCAAAUCCCUGCCGAUGCCGAAGAGAUCCUUUUCCAGGCUGCACACUUGGAGAGCCGCCAGCUCCAGUACCAAAAGGCUACCCAACGCCUUGCCGAUAGAGCCACCCAUGCCCAACACUCAAAGGAAGUAAUGCAAGUAAAACGCCUUGCCGAUGAGAAGCACAAGAGCAUCGGCAUCCUACAGUCCUCAGGGGAGACACUAAGGCAGAAGAUCUCCGAUCUGUCGGCAAAAAGGGAAGCCCUGCUGGCAGAGCUCAAGCAAGUAGAAGAGUUGAAGCGAAAUGAUCAGCUACCCUUCAGCAAGAAGAAAAUCAGCUACCCGAAAUGAUCAAGACCCUUCAGCAAGAACAAAACAUUCAAGCCCGUAAGGCACUGCAGAUGAAGAAGAAGUUGAAGCCAGUGGAGGGCUCUGCCGAUGAAGACAUCAGGGAGAUAGAAGAAGCCGAUCAAAUUCGUCUGCGUGCCAUAUCGGCUAUCCAAGCCUUGCUGAAUAUAUGAGCUCUCCAUCGGUGGCAUGUCUUGUUCUGCCUUUAGAAACUGCUGACUAUUUUGGUCUAGCCGAUAGGACUGUUAUCGGCAUCCUUUUAAAACAUCAUACUCUAGCCGAUAGGAAUGUUAUCGGCACUUAAACUUUCAUGCAUCGACCCAAAUGCUCGGGUAAUACUUCUUUAAAUACUUUCCAUUUAAAGCUCUAGGAAAUUCAACUCCUUUGAGAGUCUCCAAAAUAUAAGCAUUACCAGGAGCAGACCGAUUUAUCCGAUAAGGACCUUCCCAAUUAGGAGACCAUUUGCCAAACUUUGAACUUUUAGUCUCAAUCGGUAAUAUUAGUUUCCACACCAAAUCUCCAUCGACAAACUCCUUAGCUUUUACUUUUUUAUCAUACCACCUAGCAACUCUCUUUUUAUUUUCUUCUAUACUUAUCAAAGCCCUCAGCCGAUGUCCUGCUAAAUCGUCUAACUCAUCUUUCAUCAAAGUAGCAUAGCCAUCGGCAGCCAACUGGUCUUGAAAAGAUAGUCGCCUAGAUCUGGUCUUAAUUUCCCAUGGUAGCAUUGCAUCGUGCCCAUACACCAACUGAUAAGGUGAAACUUUAGUCGACCCAUGACAUGCCAUCUGAUAUGACCAUAAAGCUUCACUCAACAAUGUAUGCCACCUCCUAGGAUUUUCUUCAAUCUUUCAUUUGAUGAGUUUAAUAAUUCCUUUGUUAGACGCCUCGGCCUGCCCAUUGGCUUGAGCAUAAAGAAGAAGAAUUCAACACUUUAAUCCCCAUACCGAUUGCAAAUUCAUCAAACUCUCCCGAUGUAAACAUGGUACCCUGAUCGGUAGUAAUUGUUUGAGGAAUACCAAAUCGGUAAACAAUAUGCUCUUUCACAAAAUCAAUCAAAUUAGCCGAUGUUACUUUCUUCAAAGGAAUAGCUUCAACCCACUUAGUGAAAUAAUCAGUGGCAACUAAGAUGAACUUAUGCCCUUUGCUUGAUGGCGGGUAAAUCUGGCCGAUUAGAUCAUUAGCCCAUCCCCGGAACGGCCAAGGCUUAAUAAUGGGAUUCAUAGAUGAUGCGGGUGCCCUUUGAAUAUUGCCAAAUUUCUGACAUUCUUGACACCCUUUGAAAUAUUUAAAGCAAUCCUUGAGUAUAGUCGGCCAAUAAUACCCGUUUUUCCUAAUCAUCCAUUUCAUCUUAAAAGCCGACUGAUGCGCUCCACACACUCCUUCAUGGAUUUCACCCAUCAAACUUUUAGCCUCAUCAUCACCUAAGCACUUGAGAAGAACUCCAUCUAUUGUUCGAUAAUAAAGCUCAUCCCCAAGGAGUACAUACUUGGUAGCUUGAAGCCUGACACGCCUCUCAACCUUUUUAGAUGGAUCUUUUAAAUAAUCAAUGAUCUCCUUUCUCCAAUCAUCGGCACCGAUUGUCGAUAACGUGUUUAAUAUGGGUUGAUAUCUCGAGGCAUGUGGAGCCAACCGAUUAGCCUCUUCAUUAUGUAAUCAAGGAACAUGCACUAAUCGGAAAUCCUUGAAUUCCUUUAAUAGCUGCAUACUCUUUUCAUAAUAGGUUAUCAUCUCGCUUUGGCAUUCAUAAAUUCCAGCCAGUUGAUUUAUAACAAGCAUAGAAUCACCAAAGAUUUCAACAGCAUCAGCAUGAACCUCUUUUAACAAUUCCAACCCUUUGAUCAAAGCUUGAUAUUCAGCUUGAUUAUUUGUUGACGUGGCAACAAUCGGCAAAGAAAACUCAUACUUCUUUCCCUGAGGAGAAACUAAUACUAUACCGAUUCCUGCCCCCCGGUCACACGUAGAUCCAUCAAAGAAGAGCGUCCAAGGAACAAUUUCCAAAGUCCCAACUACACAACAAUGCUAGGUCACAAAAUCGGCCAUAAUCUGCCCUUUAACUGCCUUAGCCGAUUCGUAACGUAGAUCAAAUUCCAACAGUGCCAAAAUCCAUUUACCGAUUCUACGACUCAUAAUCGGCAUAGAUAGCAUGUAUCGGACUACAUCAUCUUUGCAUAUAACAGUGCAUUCGGCCGAUAGCAAAUAAUGUCUCAACUUAACACAUGAAAAGUAUAAGCACAAACAUAACUUUUCAAUUGCCGAAUACCUGGUCCCAGCGUCAAUCAGUCUUCUACUUAAAUAAUAAAUCACACACUCGUUCCCUUCAAAUUCUUGAAUCAAAGCCGAACCGAUGACCAUCCCAUCGGUAGACAAAUAUAAUUUGAAAGGCUUCCCUUGCUGAGGUGGAAUCAGGACUGGAGGAUUUGUUAAAUAAUUCUUGAUUUCAUCCAAAGCUGAUUGUUGCUCUUUUCCCCACACAAACUCUUGAUCGGCUUUCAAUUUAAGUAAAGGACUAAAAACACGAAUUUUACCAGACAAAUUAGAUAUAAACCGCCUGAUAAAAUUUAUCUUGCCGAUCAAAGACUGGAGUUCAGUUUUGUUGGUAGGAGCAACUAUUUUGUUAAUGACAUCAAUAGAUCUCCUACUAAUUUCAAUUCCUCUCUGAUGCACCAUGAAACCAAGAAAUUGCCCUGCCGAUACACCAAAUGCACACUUGGUAGGAUUUAUCUUCAACCCAUGUUUCCUUGUGCACUCCAACACCUUUUGCAGAUUGGCAAGAUGCUUUGUGAAAUCCCCAGACUUAACCACCACAUCAUCAAUGUAAAUCUCUACCAGCUUGCCGAUGAGCUCAAGAAAGAUAAAAUUCAUAGCCCUCUGAUAAGUAGCACCAGUGUUUUUCAAACCAAAGGUCAUGACUGUCCACUCAAACAACUCAACAUGACCAGAACAUCUAAACGCGGAUUUUGAAAUAUCUUCUUCAGCCAUGAAUAUCCUGUAUUGCCAUCCAUAAAGCUAAUGAUCCAAUGUCCAGCCACAACAUCAACUAGCAAAUCGGCAACUGGCAUUGGAUAACCAUCCAUCGGCGUAGCCUUGUUAAGAUUCCUGAAAUCAAUGCAGACUCGAAGCUUCCCAUUUUUCUUAUAAACUGGAACGACAUUGGAGAUCCACUCGGCAUACCGACAUUGCCGAAUAAAUUUAGCUUCGAUAAGUUUAGUUAUUUCGGCCUUAAUAUCAGGAAGAAUAUUAGGACUACAUCGGCGAGCUGGCUGCUGAUGUGGCCGAAAUCCAGAUUUGAUAGGUAACCGAUGUUCGACAAUAGAUCGGUCCAAACCAGGCAUCUCGGUAUAAUCCCAAGCAAAGCAAUCUUUAUAUUCCUUUAACAAAUCAGUUAACUGUUGCUUACACUCAGAAUCUAACUUAGCACUAAUAAACGUAUGCCUAGGCCUAUUACCAUUACCUAUAUCUACUUCCACUAAAUUGUCGGCCGAUGUAAAUCCUUGGCCUAAUUUUCCAUCAUCGGCGAACAUAUCCAUUAAAACUCUUCAUCAGAACCGACUGCUUGGAUCGGUGGAAUUUCGUAAUCGGCAACCUUGAGAAAAUCCUUCUCCUAAAUUUCUCUCGAGAUGCAUCUAGUUCUUUCAUAAGUAUCUGCCUCUGCCGUUGCUAUGACAUACGAAGAAUCCCCUAGGACAAUCUCAAUGUUGUCACGUACCAACUGAACCAAACACUGGUGCAUUGUAGAUGGGAUACAACAAUUAGCAUGGAUCUCCCCAAUAGUAGAUUAUAAGCACCCUUUCCACCGAUGACGAAGAAUGUUGUCGGCAAGGUUUUGCUGCCGAUAGUCAACUCAACACAUAUGGCUCCCUUGACUGGAGACACAUUUCCUUCAAAGUCCUUUAACAUCAUAACGGUCUUGGUCAAGUCUUGAUCUCUUUUUCCAAGCUUCCAAUAGACUGCAUACGGCAUAAUAUCGAUAGCAGCCCCACCAUCAACAAGUAUCUUGGUCAUCGGCUGCCCAUCAACCCUACCUUUGACAAACAGAGCUUUAAGAUGCUGUCUUUCAUUGUCGGUAGGCUUUUCAAAGAUAGCCUUCAUUGGAUCCAGAGCCAACUGAGCUAUCUGGUCGGAAAAAUCCACCUCUUCAUCAUCACUAAAAGGCGCAAGGAAUUCCAUCAACAACAUGAAUACCAUGUUAACACCUGCCGAUGGCCCUUUUCCUUUAGGAUCUGGCUGUUGCUGAUCUUCAGACUUAGCAGAAUUUUCGCCUUUAUUCAGCUCUUCUUGCCUUUCACGCUGCGGCCUUCUUCUCUGUGUCCUAGUCAACCCUUUUGGACACCCUGGAGGAAGUUAUGGCUGCCUUACCGAUUGACGACGACUUUCCCUUGUCUCCACUCGAUAAGUAUUACCAUCUCUGCAAAAUAUGAAUUCAUCGGGAACUCGUGCAUUUGCCAUUUCUUCAAGCUCUUCUUGGUUUCUGGGAAAAUAUCCGACACGGUCACCAAGCCUGUCAUGCACACUUAGCCUGCCCCCCAGCCGAUCAUGAACUGAUGCUCUUCCCCUAAUCGGCCCAUCAAAACGCCGAUCAUUGUUCUGAUACUGCCGAUUUAGUCUAUCAUACCGAUCAUAGCCAUUGCAUUCAGGGUAGUCUCUAACAGUUGGUAGCUUGAUGUUUUGCUCCCAACAGUAUAUGAAAAAUGGAUAAUUCCAGUGAUCUUUAUGUCGAUUCCACUCUUGUCGGCGUCUUUCUUCUUCUCUACGACGAUCCUCCUGUUGGCGUCGAUACCGAUCUUCACAUUGCUACCAGGUCUCCCGAUGCCUUCUAUGAGUUAUCACAAUGCCAGAUCGGGGAAGUCUUCCUGAAUUGGUCCCUUCCUGGAUCAAACCUUUGCCUUUGGCAUCAUCGGCAGUAAUCUGGUGCUGAGGAUCUACCGAUGCACUUCUUUCAGCUGCUUCUGACGUCAAGACUUUGGUUUUUCCCUUAGCAUCCAACAUAUUUGUAGAGAAAGGAUGAUGAUCGAUCUUCAUCGGCUUCUGAGCUUUGAAAUUAUCAAAUUUAAUUCUCCUAGAUUCUAUAGCCGAUUGCAACUGCUGCUUGAAAACUUUACACUCAUUUGUACUGUGAGACGUUGCAUUAUGCCACUGGCAGUAUUUCAUUUUCUCUAAUUCCUCAGCCGAUGGAAUCACAUGAUUGGGUGACAACUUGAUUUGCCCUUCCUGAAGUAGAAAGUCAAAUAUCCUAUCGGCUUUGGUAAUAUCAAAUGCAAACUUUUCUGGUUCCUUAUGCCCAAAAGGGCAAGAGAUCGGCUUCUUAUUCUUCACCCAUUCUGCCAAGCCGAUGAUUGGUUCUUCAUCAGAAUCUGAGCUUGUUGCCUCAUCGAUGAAUGACAACAUUUUAUUCCAUGCCCUCUUAGGUUCAAAAGGUUUGAUAUCUUGGUCAGAAAUCUUCUGCACUAAAUGACUCAGGCUUUCGAACUCUUGAGAAGCAUAUUUGUCUCUGAUAUGUGGCAACAAUCCCUAGAAAGCCAAAUCGGCUAGCUGCCGAUCGUCCAGAAUCAGACUAUAGCAUUUAUUCUUAACCUCUGGCAAUCUUUGCACAAAGCUUUCAACCGAUUCAUCAUUGCGUUGCUUCAGCUUGACUAAAUCGGUAAUCUUCUUCUCAUGAACCCGAGAAAAGAAAUAUUUGUGGAAUUUCUUCUCUAGAUCGGCCCAAGUAAUCACUGAAUUAGGAAGUAAUGAUAUAAACCAAGUAAAAGCCGAUCCAGACAAAGAUGAUGAGAACAAGCGAACACUUAACUCAUCUCUGUUAGCAGCUUCUCCACACUAGAUGAUGAACCUGUUAACAUGUUCCAUAGUUGAUGUAUCAUAUUGCCCAGAAAACUUGGUGAAAUCUGGUACCUUGUACCGAUUUGGAAGAGGAAUUAAGUCAUAUGCAAGAGGAUACGGUGUCCGAUAAGAGUAAGUGUUGACUUUGGGUUUUAUCCCAAAUUGGUCUCUCAUCACUUUAGCUAUCUUAUUAGCCCAAUAAGCAUCGGCAUCGUGCCAAUGAGGUGGUUGUGGAUCUGGCACCUACUGAUAAGCUUCCACAUGUCUCUAAGGUGCACGAUCUCCAUGAAACAUUGGAUUAACCAUCGCCUACUGACCACCAAGUUGCUGGCCAAGAUUCAUUGGCUAGUUGAUCAACCCUUGAUUCUGAAACCCAGGUUGGACUGGUCCCUGUUGAAACCCUACAGCCUCAUGAUUUUGCUGAGGCAUCUGUGGAAAGACAAACUGCCCUGUCCAUCCAUUAUUAACAUUCAUCGGCGUAGGUCCUGCCGAUGACUGGUAAUUGGGCAUCAUCAUUGAAUUGACAUACCCUGGCUGUGUCAUAAACCUUUGCUGCGUCGGCAUUGGAUCUGCCGAUGCAUUAGGCAUCUGGAACGUUGGCGCUUGAGAAUUCCCAGUGAAAAGUCUUGCAGUAGUAGUUGUACAAUACUGGGGAUUCUGAGUCAUCGGCGAGCUUGGAGGUGCCGAUGCCAUAGGAGCCUUGCCUGUCACGUCAGCCACUUGAGAUGUUCUAGGACCUUUUGCCAUCAAUUCUGGGGGCAUACCAUAACCCCACCAAUUGAUAGGAACAGACCCUAACAUUGCCGAUGCCAAUAAAUCCGUAGCAAGUUUGAUUUGCCCGUCCAAUGUUGAUGGAUUAGUUGUCAUCGGUGUAGAUUGCGCACUAGUCAUCCCUAACGUGCUUGGAGGGGAAGUAACUUCUGCACCCACAACGGCCGUAGUAGCCGAUGGAGCCGUAACCACCGAUGAUCCUAGCUGAUGCUAGGUAGGACCCACAUAAGAUGGUGGUACUUGUCCUUCUUUGAAAGUUCUAGCCACAACAUUAAAAACCGUAUUGGACAGUACACCAGAUUGAUUGAUCAGAGCACGGUUGACAGCACUAUCAACCAUCUCUUGCAAUUUACCAGGAUUGGCUUCAAAAGUUAUUUGCCGAGGUGCCGACAAUGCUUCCUUUUGGAUCACCUCACCACUCCUGUUGAUACUGAAGGAUUUCAAGCAUAGCUGCUUGUAGUCCUCCAUGGCUUUUGCCAUAGCUUGCUUCUGCUCGUCUCUAAGAUUGGCUUCCGUCACAGGGAUGACGUUCUCCAAGUCGAAAUUAUUGUUCGACAUGUUGAUCUUGAUCUUGAAUCUCUGUCCCACUGGGCGUGCCAAAAGAUGUGUUGAUGCAAAAGCUGAUCUGCAAACACAAAGGGCUAAUACCCGAUUCAAACGUUAAGGCGUGCCAGCCGAUUUGACCUUGCAAUCGACAAAGGUGGUAACUCGAACACUUUGGUCCCGACAACAGCGAUGCGCCUGGAUGUCACAGUCAAGAGGUGCUCAUGCGGAACUUUGAGAACACGCCAAGUUUGACUCGACGAAUUCCUAAGAACUCAUAGUAAAAAGAAAAUAUGACGAAGUCGUCGAAAAGUAGAUGCUAGAAUAUGUGUAAAAACUUGUGUUUGAUUGAUUGAUAGAUAUCUCAUUACAUUGCCAUGGGGUCUAAAUUUAUACCCUGUCCCAAAGAACUACAACCAGACACGACUAGAAUUCGAAUUCCAAAUUAAACGGAAUCCGUAUACAAAACAAACUCUAAUAACUAAGGAAAACAUUAAACUAUCCUCCAUAUCCGAUCGGUACACUGCCACAAACCAAUCGGCAACCCCUGCAUCUUUCCCCAUGACCAUCGGCAGACCGCCUUUCCCCGUCAUCGGCAACCAUCAGUACUAGUCAUCGGCAUGACCUCAUCACUACUUCUGGACUUAGUCAUAUUCCGUCGUUUUCCCAUCGGCACCGACCCCAUCGGCAAUUCAUCUACAAAUCAACCACAACUUUCCUACCUGCCGAUCUACUCCUCAUUAACUCCGAAUACGUAUUCAAAGAUACAUGUCCAAAAACGGUGUUAACAGUUCCAUGUUGAACCGUUUCAACACCUUGUCUAUAUAUGUGUCUUGGCCUAAUCCUAUUAGCCUUUUGGACCUAUCUCUAUAGAUCUUAAUGCCCAAAAUGUAUGCUGCUUCUCCUAAAUCCUUCAUAGAAAAACUAUUAUUUAGUGAAGUCUUUACUGAUUGCAACAUUGGAAUGUCAUUCCCAAUCAAUAAUAUGUCAUCCACAUAUAAGAUUAGAAAUACAACAGUGCUCCCACUUUCCUUCUUGUAAACACAAGGUUCUUCUUCAUUCUGACGGAAGCCAAAACCUUUGACCACUUCAUCAAAAUGAAUAUUCCAACUCCGAGAUGCUUGCUUUAAUCCAUAAAUGGAUUUCUUAAGCUUGCAUAUUUUUCUAGCAUUAUUAGGAUCAACAAAACCUUUGGGUUGUAUCAUAUACACGUCCUCUUCCAUUCCAUUUAGAAAUGCUGUUUUAACAUCAAUCUGCCAUAUCUCAUAAUCAAAAUAUGUAGCAAUUGCUAGAAUGAUCCGGAUAGAUUUAAGCAUCGCUACUAGCGAGAAAGUCUCGUUGUAGUCAAUUCCUUGAACUUGCCUAAAACCCUUUGCGACAAGUCGAGCUUUAUAGAUGUGAACAUUUCCAUCCAUAUCCUUUUUCUUUUUAUAGAUCCAUUUGCACUCUAUGGGUCUAACCCCAUCAGGCGGAUCAACCAAGUUCCAAACUUGAUUGUCUCCCAUGGAAUCUAUCUCGGAUCUCAUAGCACUUUGCCAUUUCACAGAAUCUGGGUCCAUCAUUGCUUCUGCAUAAUUUGUAGGUUCGUCAUCGUCUAACAAUAACAAUUCCCCCCGCAAUUCGUGAAGUCAUGCUGAUCUUCGUGGUUGUGGUGGUGUUUCUACUACCACGGGCGUCUCAACAUGUUUUGCUAUGUUAGCAUCGCUCGUAGAGUCAUCCCCAACUGGUUCAUCUUAAACUUCUUCAAGAUAAACCUUUGUCCAUUUUUCUCCCUUUUGAGAAACUCUUUCUCUAAGAAAACACCAUUUUGAGUAACAAACACUUUGCCCUCUGUCCGGUUAUAGACAUAAUACCCUAAAGUUUCCUUUGAGUAUCCCAUGAAAAAGCACUUGUCUGAUUUGGGUGUUAGUUUAUCUGAUAUAAGUCGUUUGACAUAAACUUCACAACCCCAAAUUUUUAGAAAAGACAAACUAGGACACUUACCAGUCCACAUCUCAUAUGGUGUCUUAACUACAGACUUAGAUGAUACCCUAUUUAAAGUGAAAGCGGCUGUUUCUGGAGCAUAUCCCCAAAAUGAUAAAGGUAGGUCUGACUGGCUCAUCAUAGAUCGAACCAUGUCCAACAAAGUUUGAUUACAUCGCUUAGACACACUGUUCCUCUGAGGUGUUCUAGGUGGUGUAAGUUGUGGAAUGAUUCGACAACUCUUUAGAUGAUUGCUAAAUUCGUGACUCAAAUAUUCGCCUCCAUGAUCAGAUCGCAAAGCUUUAAUUUUCUUGCCACGUUGAUUCUCUACUUCAUUCUAAAAUUCUUUGAACUUUUCAAAUGUUUCAGACUUAUGUUUCAUUAAGUAGACAUAUCCAUAUCUACUAAAAUCAUCAGUGAAAGUUAUGAAGUAUUGGAAUCCGCCUCUAGCUGUCGUGCUCAUUGGUCCACAUACAUCAGUAUGUACAAGUUCCAAUAAGUCAGACGCUCUCUCAGGAAAACCUGUGAAAGGUGCCUUGGUCAUCUUUCCCAAUAAGCAAGACUCACAUGUCUCGUAUGAUUCAAAAUAAAACGAAGUUAAAAGCCCAUCUUCAUGGGGCCUCUUCAUGCGAUUCUCACUUAUAUGACCCAAACGACAAUGCCACAAAUAAGUAGGACUUAACUCAUUAAGCCAAGGCCUUUUAGAACUAGCAUUAUAGAUAGGUGCAUCAUCAAGAUUUAAAAUAAAUAACCCAUUCACAAUGGAUGCAUAAGCCACAAAUAUGUCAUUCUUAGAGAUCACACAGCCAUUGUCUUUGUUCACAAAUGAAUAACCAUCCUUCAUCAAACAUGAAGGAGACACAAUGUUUCGACUUAAACUAGGAACAAAAUAUCAAUUAUUCAAUUCCAAAAUAAAUCCCGAUGGUAGAUGAAGUUGCUUCAUCCCAACGUUCAACGCAGCAACUCUUGCAUUAUUGCCCACGUGGAAAUCAACUUCUCCCUUUUCAACACUUCUACAUCUUAUCAUUCCCUACAUCGUAUUGCAAAUAUGAGCAACCGAUCUGGUAUCAAAUACCCAAGAAUUAAUAUAAGAGUUAGCAAGGAAAAUAUCCGUAACAUAAACAACAAGUGUAUGAGCAGCGGAAGUACCUUUACCACCGCCAUCCUUCUUCAAGGACACCAAGUACAACUUGCAGUUUCUCUUCCAGUGACCUUUUCCCUUACAGUGAAAGCACUGAGCAUCAGCAUCUGGGCCAGCCUUAGGUGUAGGUGGGUUUGGCUUAUAGAUCUCAUCCUUAGCCUUGCCCUUUUUCUUCUUCCAAGCGUUGCCCUUCUUUCUCUUAUAGUUAGGCUUGUUUUAGACAGCCAAUACUUGGCUACUGCCUGCACUCUUCUUGAUGUCAGCCUCUACUGUUUUUAGCAUGCCACACAACUCAUUCAAGCCCUUCUCCGCCCCAUGCAUAUGGCAGUUCGAGAUGAAGUUUCCAUAACUGGGUGAAAGAGACGAGAGAAUGAAAUCAGUAGCCAACUCUUGGCUAAUUGGGAAGCCUAGCUUCUCCAACCUCUGAGUGUAACCAACCAUCUUGAUUACAUGUGGGCCAACUACUGUGACCUCUGCUAGCUUGCAAUCAACAAAAGCUUUUGAGACUUGGAACCUUUCAGUUCUAGCCUCAGCCUAGAACAUAUCAUUAAGCGCUAUGCUAAUAUCAUACGCUGCAUGAUUAUUUUCGAACUGCAUCUACAGCUCAGGUUCCACACAAGCAAGCAUGAGGCAACUCACUUCAAGAUCAGCAUCACAUGCUUUCUUGUAAGCGUUCUUCUCGGCAGUAGAUGCAUUAUCCUCAGGUGCUUCUGGUAAUGGGGUGUCUAGAAUCUCUUCCUUUUUCUCAGCCUUGAGAACAAUUCUCAGGUUACGGAUCCAAUCCACAUAGUUUGAUCCAUUCAACAUAUCUUUCUCAAGAAUUGAGCACAAAGUAAAUGUUUGAUUGGUGGGCGCCAUUAAUCUACAACAAAAGGAAUGCAAAAUACUAAGACAACAUAUCCAAGACAGAGUAAAUAAUAUUAAAUAAAAUCUACUCCCACUAAAAUCAAUAUCCCUCAAUUGAUACUUAGUGAUUCAAGACCCACAACUAACAAGUAUACUAGUGAGCUUUAGCAUCACCACUAGUAGACAUGGUAGUUCGGUAAACAACUCCUUGCUAAUCAUAUCACAUAUGACUCUUGUUGUUGGGAUGGCAUCUCUAUGCUUGUGUUACCCAACUACUUAUGCUCCAAGGUCCCUAACUGUUAGGAUGACCUUGUUCAAGAAAACCAACCCUUCUGCAGUAAGUAUCCGAUACGAACCUGCCUAGUCAAGGAAAACCAGUGACACCCUAAUUUCAUAGACCUACCACCGAUUGUACAAGACACAUGACAGUGCAAGGUUUGGGGGAGCAUGUAACUUAAACAUUGCUGAGGGAUCGUUCUACUUCACUACCGCGUGCAUGUAGACAAAACAUCAUCGCAUAUGAAAGUAAAACAUAGUAAGAAUGGCAUUAACACAGAUAUGACUUGGUAUAGCCCAUUAUCACUUUGGGGAUCUCCAUCUCCAUCUCCAUGAUCCAUGUACGCCAUCCUCCAGUAAUGAUUCCACCAAGACUAGCUAUCACUAACGCAAGACUGUGAAUCAAAAUUACAUAGUCGUGGGUAGGAUCAUCACAAAUUGGCACGCAGGCCAUUACAUCAGGUAGAUAAUAUCUAUGUGGCUCCAGCCAUAUUGUCAUUAUCAUGACGUGCAAGCCAUGAUUUUAUUACAUACAUGCAUCACAUACACAUAAGGGCUAUACCAGUGAUGAAUCCCUGCAAAAUAGAGUUAACCGAUUCGGACAUCUAAACUUGCAGGGCCAAAAAACUCUAUUUUCCUGACCUUUUUUCGCAAUUCUAAUUUCACCGAACAUAGUUUCACAUGGAGAAUUGAAUGUAAAUUUUUUUUCUCUAUGAUUUUUGUUUAGAGAUCGUCUCAAUCUAAGUUACGGAUCAAAAGUUACGGCUGUUCUACCGAACAACACUUUGCCCGGCAAUCCACCGCCCGGCAGUAGAUCCCAUCUACUACCGCCGCGCAUCACAUGCGCCCGGCACUUGACCUAGAGUUCAAUUAGAUCAAUCUGAUUGAUCUCUAUCUCACCAUUACUGGGUUUACAUGUAUCACUUAACUUGGAUGACGGAAUUCCGACCGGUACGAGUAGAUCAUUACAAUACCAGCACAACAAAACCUUGAACCAAGAUCAUGAGACUCAUCUAAAACUGCACAUAUCUCUAUAAGUACUGUUGAUAUUUGGGAACGCAAUAAGGAAUUGAUCCGCAAGCGCACGGAUAUCGGUGAGCAUUUCACCCGAGAGGUUAUCCAGAGUAUCGUAUUUAUAUUUUUACCACUGAGAGAAAGCAUGCAUCUGACUAACCAAAUCUAUUGCUACUACCCUUUAGGCUACAAAGAAUGUUUCUCGAUGUGAGUGAUGUAUAGAGAAGACUGCAACCGUAGUCUCAUUCUAACGUUGGUACGGAUGAUCUACUGUUCUAUUAGGGAAGCUUACGGAAUCUAGACACCACAGAGGAUGUUCGACCCGCACCUAUAAACCUACCCGUCCUGCUAACGAGAUGUGGGAUGCAAAGGUAACUCGGAAAUGUCACGUUCCUCGCUACUACCACGGUCCAGCUAGUCAGGGGAUAUCUAUGAGUACCCUAGCCCAAACACCACGUUUACGCUAGCAAUGAUUACUCUAAACUCAACCGGAAGAGAUUAAAGUAAACUCAUAAACCAAAGAACAAUAAAACAAGAACUUACUAGAAUUAGAAGUCGAAUUAGUGAAGAAUCCUAGGAGCAAGCCUCGGGUUAGGAGACUUGAUCCCGCAGGUAAAACCUCGGAGUAGACACCGACAGGCCGGGCUUCCUCCGAUCUACACCUCCACUCUAUCUCUCUCAAUCUAGUAGAAACUAGAAGAUCUAAUUCUACUCACAUUGGAUGCUAAGCCUAAACAAAUAUUUAUUUAGAGGAGAGGUAUUCCUUCGAGGGCUCCUCUCAACUCUAUGAUGAACUUGUCUCCUCCAGGGGCCUGGGGGUCUGAUUUUAUAGUCCCCUCAAGUGAACGUGAGCCGUUGGAUCACACCGACAUUGAUUGGACAGUUAUCCUUGAUCCUUUAGGUCGGUGGAGCAUGGUCCCCGAAAAGAGUUCUGAUUGGGGUCCAGGUCAGGGUGGGUGCCCUGCCCCCGGGCCCGUUCGCCUUCCCGUUCGUUUCCGUGGCUUCUAGAGUCUUCUAGAUGACAGAAAAUUGCACAGCACGUUAAUAUCUCUAUGUAAACCUGACGUGUGGGCCUUUCUUCCAUAUUUCCUGAUAACCCCCUGCAGAAAUAGACAAACACCAAAACUCAUGGAAUUCUGACAGAUAAAACCCUAAGUCUGGGUGUUGGUUGCAUUUGGAUCCUUUUCUUUAUUUAUUUCAUGAUUAUUUUUGGUACUUAAGGACCGUCAAAAACUCCCCCAAGCUUACCUCUUGCUCGUCCCUGAGCAAGGAUGAACUCAAGAGUUUCUGCAGUGGUUUCAUGCCUAAAAAGUAAGAUCUCAUCUCUGAGUUUGAGUAAACUGUUUAGACUUAAAACUUACUCAUUUGACCUUUCACCAUGGGGCUUGUAACCUUCACUUGUGUCUUGAGCAGUUAAAAGAUAGAACGGUCAAGUUAAGCGCCAUGUCUCUUGUUCUUUGAUUAACUAUAGCUCUGGAGUUUUUUUUUCCAGAUUUUCAAAUAAAACUCAGAGAUUCCUUGUAUGACUCUCUCAAAUCUCUCUUUUGUAGUAUUUCUGGAUCCUUACCAAGGCAGUAAUGGUAUAUGCCUUCUCUCUCACCCUACUCUAAUAAGGUUUUGAUAUCUGGAGCUCAUAUGUGGGAGACAGCUAAUACAUACUUACAAGACAUUUAUUGCAUAGUCAAACUAUGGAUCCAGAGAAACAAGUCAAUAAGCCAAAUCAAGAUGUGCAUGUGUGGCGAAUGAAUGGUGUAUGGUGAUGAUGGUGAUAACAAUGGUGAAAGUCUAAUUCUAAUUUUGCUCUUUUAAGGGGAUACAUACCUUUCUUGCACUUUGAAGCUUUUUGAGGAGAAUGAGAUGCUCUAUAUUUUUCUUUUUCUUUUCUCUCAGGUGGGUAUCUUGUACCCCUAAUUCUACUGUCGGACACUUGUCCAUUUUUACCUCUUGUCUCACUCUUUCUUUUCUUCGAGGUUCCGGUCACUUGCCCCUUUUUAUUUCCUCGUAUCCUUCAUUUUUUUACUAGAGCACUUAUCUCCUGAAAUAAUAUAGCAAGUGGUAGUAACAAAGAUAUCUCGAGCAUUUAUUUCACAGGGAAUAACAGAAUUAGGAGAAUGUUUUUGGCUAUUCUCUCCCGGAUUAGGAGUAGAAUAAUUUUAGGUAAAUCUAGAGAUAGAAUUGAGUGGAUGUAUGUGGAUGCGUACUUCCUGAGUAGAAGUAGCAUGUAUGAGUGAACGUGCAAGU